rnacentral:rRNA from 1 species
GUCUACGGCCAUACCACCCUGAACGCGCCCGAUCUCGUCUGAUCUCGUAAGCUAAGCAGGGUCGGGUCCUGGUUAGUACUUGGAUGGGUGACCGCCUGGGAAUACCGGGUGCUGUAGGCU